rnacentral:rRNA from 1 species
CCUACGGGUGGCUGCAGUGAGGAAUAUUGGUCAAUGGGCGCGAGCCUGAACCAGCCAAGUAGCGUGAAGGAUGACUGCCCUACGGGUUGUAAACUUCUUUUAUAAAGGAAUACAGUGACGCUCGUGAUCAUUUUUGUAUGUACUUUAUGUAUAAGGAUAGGAUAACUCCGUGCCAGCAGCCGCGGUAAUACAGAGGGUCCGAGCGUUAUCCGGAUUUAUUGGGUGUAAAGGGAGCGUAGAUGGGUUGUUAAGUCAGGUGUGAAAGUUUGGGGCUCAACCGUGGAAUUGCACUUGAUACUGGCAACCUUGAGUGUGUGAGAGGAAAGCGGAAUUCGUGGUGUAGCAGUGAAAUGCGUAGAUAUCUCGAGGAACUCCAGUGGCGAAGGCAGCCAUCUAA